AAGGAAGUGGUGGUGGCCAAUGUC
rnacentral:siRNA from 1 species